UACGUAGGGGGCAAGCGUUGUCCGGAUUUAUUGGGCGUAAAGAGCGUGUAGGCGGCCAGACAGGUCCGUUGUGAGAACUCGAGGCUCAACCUCGAGACGCCGAUGGAAACCGUCUGGCUAGAGUCCGGAAGAGGAGAGUGGAAUUCCUGGUGUAGCGGUGAAAUGCGCAGAUAUCAGGAAGAACACCCGUGGCUAAGGCGGCUCUCUAGUACGGUACUGACGCUGAGACGCGAAAGCGUGGGGAGCGAACAGG
rnacentral:rRNA from 1 species